rnacentral:rRNA from 1 species
UACGGGGGGGGGCAAGCGUUGUUCGGAAUUACUGGGCGUAAAGGGCGCGUAGGCGGCCAACUAAGUCCGACGUGAAAUCCCCAGGCUUAACCUGGGAACUGCGUCGGAUACUGGAUGGCUUGAAUCCGGGAGAGGGAUGCGGAAUUCCAGGUGUAGCGGUGAAAUGCGUAGAUAUCUGGAGGAACACCGGUGGCGAAGGCGGCAUCCUGGACCGGCAUUGACGCUGAGGAGCGAAAGCGUGGGGAGCGAACAGG